rnacentral:rRNA from 1 species
GACGAACGCUGGCGGCGUGCUUAACACAUGCAAGUCGAGCGGUAAGGCCCUUCGGGGUACACGAGCGGCGAACGGGUGAGUAACACGUGGGUGACCUGCCCUCAGCUCUGGGAUAAGCCUGGGAAACUGGGUCUAAUACCGGAUAUGACCAUGGGAUGCAUGUCCUGUGGUGGAAAGGUUUUUCCGGCUGGGGAUGGGCCCGCGGCCUAUCAGCUUGUUGGUGGGGUGAUGGCCUACCAAGGCGACGACGGGUAGCCGGCCUGAGAGGGCGACCGGCCACACUGGGACUGAGACACGGCCCAGACUCCUACGGGAGGCAGCAGGUGGGGAAUCUUGCGCAAUGGGCGAAAGCCUGACGCAGCGACGCCGCGUGAGGGAUGACGGCCU